rnacentral:rRNA from 1 species
UACGUAGGGUGCGUGCGUUGUCCGGAAUUAUUGGGCGUAAAGAGCUUGUAGGCGGUUUGUCGCGUCUGCCGUGAAAAUCCGAGGCUCAACCUCGGACUUGCGGUGGGUACGGGCAGACUAGAGUGUGGUAGGGGAGACUGGAAUUCCUGGUGUAGCGGUGAAAUGCGCAGAUAUCAGGAGGAACACCGAUGGCGAAGGCAGGUCUCUGGGCCACUACUGACGCUGAGAAGCGAAAGCAUGGGGAGCGAACAGG